rnacentral:rRNA from 1 species
AUUGAACGCUAGCGGGAUGCUUUACACAUGCAAGUCGAACGAGUGGCGGACGGGUGAGUAAUAUAUCGGAACGUGCCCAGUAGCGGGGUAUAACUACUCGAAAGAGUGGCUACUACCGCAUACUAUGGGAGCGGCCGAGAUGGGAUUAGCUAGUUGGUGGGGUAACGGCUAACCAAGGCAACGAUCCGUAGCUGGUUUGAGAGGACGACCAGCCACACUGGGACUGAGACACGGCCCAGACUCCUACGGGAGGCAGCAGUGGGGAAUUUUGGACAAUGGGGGAAACCCUGAUCGAGCCAUCCCGCGUGUAUGAGAAGGCCUUCGGGUUGUAAAGCACUGUUGGCAGAGAAGCGGUAUCUGCAGAAUAAGCACCGGCUAACUACGUGCCAGCAGCCGCGGUAAUAC